AUUGAACGCUGGCGGAAUGCUUUACACAUGCAAGUCGAACGGUAGAGGGGGCAACCCCUCGAGAGUGGCGAACGGGUGAGUAAUAUAUCGGAACGUGCCCAGUCGUGGGGGAUAACGUAGCGAAAGUUACGCUAAUACCGCAUACGAUCUAAGGAUGAAAGCGGGGGAUCGCAAGACCUCGCGCGAUUGGAGCGGCCGAUAUCAGAUUAGGUAGUUGGUGGGGUAAAGGCUCAACAAGCCAACGAUCUGUAGCUGGUCUGAGAGGACGACCAGCCACACUGGAACUGAGACACGGUCCAGACUCCUACGGGUGGCAGAAGUGGGGAAUUUUGGACAAUGGACGCAAGUCUGAUCCAGCCAUUCCGCGUGCAGGAUGAAGGCCCUCGGGUUGUAAACUGCUUUUGUACGGAACGAAAAGGUCUCUCUUAAUACGGGGGACUCAUGACGGUACCGUAAGAAUAAGCACCGGCUAACUACGUGCCAGCCGCCGCAGUAA
rnacentral:rRNA from 1 species